GGGUUCCCUUCAGCAACACAUAUACUAAAAUUGGAAUGAUACAGAGGAGAUUAGCAUGGCCCCUGUGUAAGAAUGACACACAAAUUAUGUAGCAUUCCAUAUUUAA
rnacentral:snRNA from 1 species